CGCCGACAGCGGGACCGGGAGCCCGCCCCCACGGCUCCGCCUCCGCGCCGCCCAUUGAACUGCCUUCCUGUCACUCAGCUCAGCCUCUACUGUGAUUGGGCAGUUUUCAACAAGCAGCUUGGUGAUAGCCGCCCAUCCUCCGCCCCUGUCACCCGGCCACACGCGCACACAUUCCAGGCAGUGAUUGGUGUGGAUCUGAUUGGCGCCCUCUGGGAUCACUCAACCACGCCUCUUUGCCGUCUUGUCGUCCCAUUGGUGAAAAAGACAGAGGGCGGCAACCCCGCUCGCCCUUUGAUUUUAUUGGUUCGUGCCUGAGACUCAGACCUGAGCCUGGGGGCAACUAUAUUAGUCCAAUCUCUGGGUUGAGAAGGUGGGAUGGACUGGCCACUGCUUGAAUCCCAGGAGAACCUUCUGGAACCCUUGCGACGUCAAAGGCAGCCUUAAAGGAAAACUGUACCCACCAGUUGGCCGUGCGGCCGUGCAUUCUUUCCUUUCUUCAUUGGGGGGCAAGGGGGAGAGAACAGUGCACUCUGGGAGGUGUAGUCCCUGGACCGGGACCAAAAGGAAUGCCACGUUGACCCAUCACCUUGGCAGCAGACGGCCUCCCUCCUGUGAUCAGACUCUGAGCGUCUCACCUGAUACAUGCUUCAUGCUGACACCCAGGCCCAGACUUUGGUCCCACACUGAGUCCCAACUUUGACCUCAGCCUGAGACACAACCUGGUUGUUGUCCUGGUAGACAGUUCCCCAAAUCCAGCCUCUGCCCAAACCUUCCUCCUAGACAUGUCUGAGCCCUAAUUUUGAUACAAAAUACUUGAAUUCAUCUUCAGAUUCAAUUCUAAUCCUAUACUGAACUAACUGAACACUGCCAGGGAUCUGACUCCCUCAUAUUUGCUGGCGUCUCCCUGCGUGUUCUGAACUUACGCUGACCAGCACCAAAAGGGUUCAGAGGGGUGAUUUCUUGCCUUGGGAUGAGAGAGCAAUGUUAGGGAUGACCAGCAGAGGGCGUGCAACAUCAGGCUCUAGAGGCAAGCGUCCAAGAGCCCACCUGUGAACUAAAAAAAUUAAAUUUCACGUCUUUGA